rnacentral:rRNA from 1 species
GAUGAACGCUGGCGGCGUGCCUAAUACAUGCAAGUCGAGCGAACAGACGAGGCGCUUGCUCCGCUGACGUUAGCGGCGGACGGGUGAGUAACACGUGGAUAACCUACCUAUAAGACUGGGAUAACUUCGGGAAACCGGAGCUAAUACCGGAUAAUAUAUUGAACCGCAUGGUUCAAUGGUGAAAGACGGUUUUGCUGUCACUUAUAGAUGGAUCCGCGCCGCAUUAGCUAGUUGGUAAGGUAACGGCUUACCAAGGCAACGAUGCGUAGCCGACCUGACAGGGUGAUCGCCCACACUGGAGCUGGGCCACGGUCCAGACUCCUACGGGAGGCAGCAGUAGGGAAUCUUCCGCAAUGGGCGAAAGCCUGACGGAGCAACGCCGCGUGAGUGAUGACGGUCUUCGGAGCGUAAAACUCUGUUAUUAGGGAAGAACAACUGUGUAAGUAACUAUGCACGUCUUGACGGUACCUAAUCAGAAAGCCCCGGCUAACUACGUG